UACAGAUUUGAAGAACAUGGCGCAAAAUAUGCAGCCGAAGUACACAUAAUUAUGACAAAUUUUAAGAAAAUGUUGAGCAAUGUAAUACAGUAAUUACUUUUCAAAUAAGUUACCUUACACGUUAUGUUGGCUGAUAAUUUGUUAGCUACGCUGUCCUUACGAACCAUAUCAUUACAGCAUGGUAUGCUAGUUGGCUACUUAUACAUCAAACUUGCCAGUAUAUUAACUAUAGGCUAUCUAACUACCCGUGUCAUAGGUGUAUUGACUUGAUUAUUCCCGUCAUUCUUUGUUCAGCUAAAUGUUAUAGUCGUUUUGCGUUCUCAAUGGAUAUUCGGGUGCUUUUGUAAAUUCGCUCUGGCUAUUUACUCCGAUUUCGCCUGAGUAAUGUUAUACCUCAGAGCAGAGUGCAGAAUAAUGAAUUUACGAACGCUCAACACCGGUUGUAUAUGGCCGGUGUCAGUAAACCUCGGCAAAUAAAGCGUUAUGAACUUGUUGCCAGCAGCACAUUUAGUCACCAACGCUCUGGAUAACAUGACAACUGCCUAACCAGCUAUGCUAGGGUCCUGAAGGACGCCUCACUGUCCUCAGCUGUUUGUCUUCUAUGAGAGGACCAUCUCUACCAGCACUCAUAGUUCACCCAAAGCCCAAAUCACCAUGACUUGAUAGGUGUCGCCCAUCUUCCCUAUUAUCACCUGUGUAUUUAUACCUGUGUUCUCUGUCUUGUUUGUUGCCAGUUUGUCUUGUUUGUUCAAGCUUACCAGUGGUUUUCCUGUCAACGCCUAUUGUUUCCAAGCCUUGCUUUACUAGUCCUCCUGGUUUUGACCGAUGCCUGACCCUGCACCUUUGCUCCACCUCUGGAUUACUGAACCCUGCCUGACCCUGACCCUGAGUCUGCCUGCCGUCCUGUACCGUCGCCUAACCCUUGAUGUUUGACCCCUUCCUGCCUUGACCUGUCUUUGCCUGCCCCUGUUUGCUACAAUAAACAGGGUUACUUUGACAGUCUGCAUCUGGGUCUUACCUUGAUUCUUGACAAGGCUAUACUGUCAGAUCCAAAUACUGUUUACAUAAAGCAACAUUACCAAAGAUGUCAACAUUGCAGACCUCCAGGACAUGUCCUCAGUUGAUCCAGAAAUGGAACCACUAUAUGGUUAAAUCAUGACUGGACCAAAGACUUGGGCAGCUACUGUAGCCUACGUAUACUGUAUGGAAGUGCUUCUAUUCUGAGUGGUAUAUGGUCAAACAGUAAUUCUGUGUGCUGAGUCUAUGCAUUGGAAUAUCUACCUUGUUUAAUAAGAACAAUUAAACAAAUUCCAUGUUAUGAUUAUAGUGUUCAAUGUUAACACUGAUUUAGACAGCUUUGUGACUGUUUGAUUUGUUAUUAAUUUUUUGAAUACAAAUAGAUCUACUGGGCUCCUGAGUGGCGCAGAGAUCUAAGGCACUGCAUCUCAGUGCUAGAGGAGUCACUACAGACCCUGGUUUCGAAUCCAGGCUGUUUCACAACUGGCUGUGAUUGGGAGUCCGCACAAUUGGCCCAGCGUCAUCCGGGUUUGGCCGGUGUAGGCCGUCAUUGUAAAUAAGAAUUUGUCCUAGUUGUCCUGACUUGCCUAGUUAAAUAAUAAAAAAUACUGAAAAGAC